GCUGUGAUGGCCGAGUGGGUAUGUUGCACAAUGUUCACCACACCAGUGCGACCAAAGCUAAUUGAAAUGAUAGUCUAAGGCGAUGGUUUUAAGUUCUUGGGAAUUCACCAUUAUCGAAAGAUGCGAGGGUUCGAACCCCUCUCGCAGCA